rnacentral:misc_RNA from 1 species
GAUGAAGAACGCAGCGAAAUGCGAUAAGUAAUGUGAAUUGCAGAAUUCAGUGAAUUAUCGAAUCUUUGAACGCACAUUGCGCCCGCCAGUAUUCUGGCGGGCAUGCCUGUUCGAGCGUCAUUACAACCCUCAGGCCCCCGGGCCUGGCGUUGGGGAUCGGCGGAGCCCCCCGUGGGCACACGCCGUCCCCCAAAUACAGUGGCGGUCCCGCCGCAGCUUCCAUCGCGUAGUAGCUAACACCUCGCGACUGGAGAGCGGCGCGGCCACGCCGUAAAACACCCAACUCUUCUGAAGUUGACCUCGAAUCAGGUAGGAAUACCCGCUGAACUUAAGCAUAUCAAUAAGCGGAGGA